UGGGAACCUUCCCUAUGGUUCGGAAUAGCUCAGGGGAAACUUGAGGUAAUACCGGAUAAGCCCUUCGGGGGAAAGAUUUAUCGCCAUUGGAUGGGCCCGCGUCGGAUUAGCUAGUUGGUGAGGUAACGGCUCACCAAGGCAACGAUCCGUAGCUGGUCGGAGAGGAUGAUCAGCCACUGGGACUGAGACACGGCCCAGACUCCUACGGGAGGCAG
rnacentral:rRNA from 1 species